rnacentral:rRNA from 1 species
CAGUCGCCGCGGGAAUACGGAGGGAGCUAGCGUUGUUCGGAAUUACUGGGCGUAAAGCGCACGUAGGCGGCUUUGUAAGUUAGAGGUGAAAGCCUGGAGCUCAACUCCAGAAUUGCCUUUAAGACUGCAUCGCUUGAAUCCGGGAGAGGUGAGUGGAAUUCCGAGUGUAGAGGUGAAAUUCGUAGAUAUUCGGAAGAACACCAGUGGCGAAGGCUGCUCACUGGACCGGCAUUGACGCUGAGGUGCGAAAGCGUGGGGAGCAAACAGGAUUAGAUACCCGCGUAGUCCCUGUCUCUUAUAC